GGAGAAGGUCCCAAGGGUUGGGCUGUUCGCCCAUUAAAGUGGCACGCGAGCUGGGUUCAGAACGUCGCGAGACAGUUCGGUCUCUAUCUGCAGUGGGCGUUAGAAAUUUGCGUGGAUCUGACUCUAGUACGAGAGGACCGAGUUGGACGAACCUCCGGCGUACCGGUUGUCGCGCCAGCGGCACGGCCGGGUAACCGCGUUCGGCAGGGAUAAGCACUGAAAGCAUAUAAGUGCGAAACCCACCACAAGAUAAGAUUUCUUUAUAAGGGUCGUGGGAGACCACCACGUCGAUAGGCUACAGGUCUAAAGGCAGUAAUGUCAAAGCCGAGUAGUACUAAUCACCCGUAAGUUUUA
rnacentral:rRNA from 1 species